GAUGAACUCUGGCGGCGUGCCUAAUACAUGCAAGUCGAGCGAACGGACGAGAAGCUUGCUUCUCUGAUGUUAGCGGCGGACGGGUGAGUAACACGUGGAUAACCUACCUAUAAGACUGGGAUAACUUCGGGAAACCGGAGCUAAUACCGGAUAAUAUUUUGAACCGCAUGGUUCAAAAGUGAAAGACGGUCUUGCUGUCACUUAUAGAUGGAUCCGCGCUGCAUUAGCUAGUUGGUAAGGUAACGGCUUACCAAGGCAACGAUGCAUAGCCGACCUGAGAGGGUGAUCGGCCACACUGGAACUGAGACACGGUCCAGACUCCUACGGGAGGCAGCAGUAGGGAAUCUUCCGCAAUGGGCGAAAGCCCGACGGAGCAACGCCGCGUGAGUGAUGAAGGUCUUCGGAUCGUAAAACUCUGUUAUUAGGGAAGAACAUAUGUGUAAGUAACUGUGCACAUCUUGACGGUACCUAAUCAGAAAGCCACGGCUAACUACGUG
rnacentral:rRNA from 1 species